rnacentral:rRNA from 1 species
UACGGAGGAUCCAAGCGUUAUCCGGAAUCAUUGGGUUUAAAGGGUCCGUAGGCGGUCUAGUAAGUCAGUGGUGAAAGCCCAUCGCUCAACGGUGGAACGGCCAUUGAUACUGCUGGACUUGAAUUAUUGGGAAGCAACUAGAAUAUGUAGUGUAGCGGUGAAAUGCUUAGAGAUUACAUGGAAUACCAAUUGCGAAGGCAGGUUGCUACCAAUUGAUUGACGCUGAUGGACGAAAGCGUGGGUAGCGAACAGG